rnacentral:rRNA from 1 species
AUUGAACGCUGGCGGCAGGCCUAACACAUGCAAGUCGAGCGAGCGGCGGACGGGUGAGUAAUGUCUGGGAAACUGCCUGAUGGAGGGGGAUAACUGCUGGAAACGGUAGCUAAUACCGCAUACCAUCAGAUGUGCCCAGAUGGGACUAGCUAGUAGGUGGGGUAACGGCUCACCAAGGCGACGAUCCCUAGCUGGUUUGAGAGGAGGACCAGCCACACUGGAACUGAGACACGGUCCAGACUCCUACGGGAGGCAGCAGUGGGGAAUAUUGCACAAUGGGCGAAAGCCUGAUGUAGCCAUGCCGCGUGUGUGAAGAAGGCCUUCGGGUUGUAAAGCACUUUCAGCGGGGAGGCGUUACCCGCAGAAGAAGCACCGGCUAACUCCGUGCCAGCAGCCGCGGUAAUAC